UACAGAGGGGGCAAGCGUUAUUCGGAAUUAUUGGGCGUAAAGGGCGCGUAGGCGGCUUGGCAAGUGGAAGGUGAAAUCCCUCGGCUUAACCGGGGAACUGCGUCUGAUACUGGAUGGCUAGAGAUUGGGAGAGGGAUGCGGAAUUCCAGGUGUAGCAGUGAAAUGCGUAGAUAUCGAGAGGAACACCAGUGGCGAAGGCGAGUCCCUGGACAACUUCUGACGCUGAGGCACGAAAGCUAGGGGAGCAAACAGG
rnacentral:rRNA from 1 species